rnacentral:tRNA from 1 species
GGGCAGUUAGUUCAAUGGCAGAACGUCUGUUUUACACACAGAAGGUUGUAGGUUCGAUUCCUACACUGCCCA